GAUGAACGCUGGCGGCGUGCCUAAUACAUGCAAGUCGAGCGAACAGACGAGGAGCUUGCUCCUCUGACGUUAGCGGCGGACGGGUGAGUAACACGUGGAUAACCUACCUAUAAGACUGGGAUAACUUCGGAAAACCGGAGCUAAUACUGGAUAAUAUAUUGAACCGCAUGGUUCAAUAGUGAAAGACGGUUUUGCUGUCACUUAUAGAUGGAUCCGCGCCGCAUUAGCUAGUUGGUAAGGUAACGGCUUACCAAGGCAACGAUGCGUAGCCGACCUGAGAGGGUGAUCGGCCACACUGGAACUGAGACACGGUCCAGACUCCUACGGGAGGCAGCAGUAGGGAAUCUUCCGCAAUGGGCGAAAGCUUGACGGAGCAACGCCGCGUGAGUGAUGAAGGUCUUCGGAUCGUAAAACUCUGUUAUUAGGGAAGAACAAAUGUGUAAGUAACUAUGCACGUCUUGACGGUACCUAAUCAGAAAGCCACGGCUAACUACGUG
rnacentral:rRNA from 1 species